rnacentral:rRNA from 1 species
UACGUAGGGUGCGAGCGUUGCCCGGAUUUACUGGGCGUAAAGCGCACGUAGGCGGAUCGUUAAGUCGGGGGUGAAAUCCUGGAGCUCAACUCCAGAACUGCCUUCGAUACUGGCGAUCUUGAGUCCGGAAGAGGUGAGUGGAACUCCUAGUGUAGAGGUGGAAUUCGUAGAUAUUAGGAAGAACACCAGUGGCGAAGGCGGCUCACUGGUCCGGUACUGACGCUGAGGUGCGAAAGCGUGGGGAGCAAACAGG